rnacentral:rRNA from 1 species
UAAUACGAAGGGGGCGAGCGUUAUUCGGAAUCACUGGGCGUAAAGCGUGCGUAGGCGGUUUUGUAAGUUGGAAGUGAAAGCCCAGGGCUCAACCUUGGAAUUGCUUUCAAAACUACAAGACUUGAAUUCGGGAGAGGAUAGCGGAAUUGUCAGUGUAGCAGUGAAAUGCGUAGAUAUUGACAGGAACACCAGUGGCGUAAGCGGCUAUCUGGACCGACAUUGACGCUGAGGCACGAAAGCGUGGGGAUCAAACAGG